rnacentral:rRNA from 1 species
UACGUAGGGGGCAAGCGUUGUCCGGAAUCAUUGGGCGUAAAGAGCGUGUAGGCGGUCCGAUAAGUCCGCUCUGAAAGCCCGGGGCUCAACCCCGGGAGGCGGGCGGAUACUGUCGGGCUAGAGUCCGGAAGAGGCAAGUGGAAUUCCUGGUGUAGCGGUGAAAUGCGCAGAUAUCAGGAGGAACACCGAUGGCGAAGGCAGCUUGCUGGGACGGUACUGACGCUGAGGAGCGAAAGCAUGGGGGAGCGAACAGG